CGGGAGAAUUGCUAGCUUGCUAAUAAUUCUCUAGUGGCGCACGGGUGAGUAACACGUGAGUAACCUGCCCCCAAGAGUGGGAUAGCCCCGGGAAACUGGGAUUAAUACCGCAUAAAAUCGCAAGAUUAAAGCAGCAAUGCGCUUGGGGAUGGGCUCGCGUCCUAUUAGUUAGUUGGUGAGGUAACGGCUCACCAAGGCGAUGACGGGUAGCCGGUCUGAGAGGAUGUCCGGCCACACUGGAACUGAGACACGGUCCAGACACCUACGGGUGGCAGCAGUCGAGAAUCAUUCACAAUGGGGGAAACCCUGAUGGUGCGACGCCGCGUGGGGGGAUGAAGGUCUUCGGAUUGUAAACCCCUGUCAUGUGGGAGCAAAUUAAAAAGAUAGUACCACAAGAGGAAGAGACGGCUAACUCUGUGCCAGCAGCCGCGGUAAUACAGAGGUCUCAAGCGUUGUUCGGAAUCACUGGGCGUAAAGCGUGCGUAGGCGGUUUCGUAAGUCGUGUGUGAAAGGCGGGGGCUCAACCCCCGGACUGCACAUGAUACUGCGAGACUAGAGUAAUGGAGGGGGAACCGGAAUUCUCGGUGUAGCAGUGAAAUGCGUAGAUAUCGAGAGGAACACUCGUGGCGAAGGCGGGUUCCUGGACAUUAACUGACGCUGAGGCACGAAGGCCAGGGGAGCGAAAGGGAUUAGAUACCCCUGUAGUCCUGGCAGUAAACGGUGCACGCUUGGUGUGCG
rnacentral:rRNA from 1 species